UGUAUGGUUAAGUGACUAAGCGUACACGGUGGAUGCCUGGGCAGUCAGAGGCGAUGAAGGACGUACUAACUUGCGAUAAGCGCAGAUAAGGCAGUAAGAGCCGUUUGAGUCUGCGAUUUCCGAAUGGGGAAACCCAACUGCAUAAGCAGUUACUGUUAACUGAAUACAUAGGUUAACAGAGCAAACCGGGGGAACUGAAACAUCUAAGUACCCCGAGGAGAAGAAAUCAACCGAGAUUCCGGUAGUAGCGGCGAGCGAACCUGGAUUAGCCCUUAAGCACUCGGUGAAGUAGGUGAACAAGCUGGAAAGCUUGGCGAUACAGGGUGAUAGCCCCGUAACCGACGCUUCAUCGAGCGUGAAAUCGAGUAGGGCGGGACACGUGAUAUCCUGUCUGAAUAUGGGGGGACCAUCCUCCAAGGCUAAAUACUCCUGACUGACCGAUAGUGAACCAGUACCGUGAGGGAAAGGCGAAAAGAACCCCUGUGAGGGGAGUGAAAUAGAACCUGAAACCGUGUACGUACAAGCAGUAGGAGCACCUUCGUGGUGUGACUGCGUACCUUUUGUAUAAUGGGUCAGCGACUUAUAUUCAGUGGCAAGGUUAACCGUAUAGGGGAGCCGUAGCGAAAGCGAGUCUUAACUGGGCGCUCAGUCUCUGGAUAUAGACCCGAAACCGGGUGAUCUAGCCAUGGGCAGGUUGAAGGUUGAGUAACAUCAACUGGAGGACCGAACCGACUAAUGUUGAAAAAUUAGCGGAUGACUUGUGGCUAGGGGUGAAAGGCCAAUCAAACUCGGAGAUAGCUGGUUCUCCCCGAAAGCUAUUUAGGUAGCGCCUCGGACGAAUACUACUGGGGGUAGAGCACUGUUAAGGCUAGGGGGUCAUCCCGACUUACCAACCCUUUGCAAACUCCGAAUACCAGUAAGUACUAUCCGGGAGACACACGGCGGGUGCUAACGUCCGUCGUGGA
rnacentral:rRNA from 1 species